rnacentral:tRNA from 2 species
GCACGUAGCUCAGUUGGUUAGAGCACCACCUUGACAUGGUGGGGGUCGUUGGUUCGAGUCCAAUCGC